UUGCUCUGUUGCCCAGGCUGCAGUGCAAUGGCGCAAUCUCGGCUCACUGCAACCUCCUCCACCCAGGUUCAAGUGAUUCUCAUGUCUCAGCCUCCUGAGUAACUGGGAUUACAAGAGCGCACCAUCACGCCCAGCUAAUUUUUGUAUUUUUAGUAGAGGCAGAGUUUCUCCAUGUUGGCCAGGCUGGUCUUGAACUCCUGACCUCAGGUGAUCUGCCUGCCUCGGCCUCCCAGUGCUAGGAUUACAGGUGUGAGCCACCACUGCACCCAGUCCAUUUCAAUCCAUUUCUAACAGCUUCACCAAAAAACAGUGGCCAGACACCCUUGCAGCCAAACCCUGAGAAGAGAUGUCCCCGAAUCUGCUAGCUCAUCUCCCCUUCCCUUGCCAGCUGCCUGGCUCCAUAGAGCAGGAGGUGUGUGGCAAGGACAGGGGCAGUUUUCCAGCUUCCACCUAUCCACGCCUGGGGGAGUUUUUGGACUGUCCUGAUAAUUAAUUCCAGAGGCAGUUUUCAGUCCUGGGUGGGCGGAGGACAUCUCACUAGGCAGGAUCUUCAGCAGAAAGUGAUUCUCCAUCCGUCAACUCAUGCAGGAAGAUGAAGAAAGCCCAGAUAAUCUCCAACUUGCAUUCGUUUAGGUUUUGGUAUACCACCCACCUCACUGUCAGCUGCAGGGCUUGGGGCUCUGCCUAGAAUCAGAAAUUUGAGCCAAACUGGGACCCUCAGAUGGCAGUGAGCCAUCCCAUCAGAUAACUCCCAAGAGGAAGCCAACUCAAAUAUGAAUUUUAUUAUUCUGGACUAUGACCCUGAUCAGAGUUCUCCCACCCCGAAAACCUCUGAUAGUCUGGUUUGAACCAGAGUCAAAUAAAACAGACAAGAUUUUUUUUUCCUCUGCACAAAAGCAAAAAAACAAAACAAAAAAAAGUCUGCCAGUAGUUUCCUGGGUUUGAUGCCCAGAUAAGCAAACACUGUUGCCUAUGGCUGUUGCUGUUUUCAUCAAGAAAGAGGUUAUAUAGUUUGCAUUUCCAUCCACUCUCCCUGAUUUUAUCUUAACCUAGAAUUUCUCCUGAACUACCCCAAAUGCCAACUUGAAUUUGGGUAGGGCUCUGUUAAUCGAGGGAACCCUCAUCUUCACUUAUAAACCUAAUUCUCUGUUCCUCCCUCCAAAGAUCCUGAAAAGAUCUCCUAAAGGCUGGCCAGGAUGGGGUGGAGUGGGGCAGUGCACCUGAAGAAAAAAACUUAGCUGCCAGCUGGCUGUAUGCAAGUUCUCCGAAAAUUUCUAUUGUAUGAAAGGGAUGGGGUCAAUUGCAGCUCAAAUUAAGGAAGCCCUCCUAACAGGCUGGGUUGUCUGACCAUGGAGCUCAAUGCCAUGGUGGACAGUGAGCUCCCUUAUAUCACAGGUGUUUAAAGAGAGGCUGGCUAGAUGGUGUAAAAAAUGGGCAUUGCAGAGGGGCCCUAGCAUUGCAUGGAAACUGGGCUGAACAACCACAGAAAUUCCUCUUUGUUUCUUGGAGUGUGUGUGUGUGUGUGUGUGUGUGUGUGUGUGUGUGUGUGUGUAGGUGGUUUCAACACUCUGGAUAUAAGCUCAAGCCACUGAGGCAAAGGCAUGCAGCACAAUUAGCAGGAAUGCAACUUCUGGGCUUUGGAGCUCUCAGAGGGGGUGUCCAAGAGACAAGUCUGCUUCCUUCCGGCUCCGUCUUGGAACAUUUUAAUGACUGUCAGUCACCAAUCCAACCCAUCCCCAGUGGCCUACCAGGCACCACAUUGGGAUGAGACUCAUGCUACCCUUCCCCAGGCCAGCCAAGGAGCAAUCCACGCUGUCCCCCAUCCCUGGCUGGCUGUCUUAUGGUGCUUCAGCCCCUCCGCCCAGCUCCUGUGCCCUCAUGAGCCUGGGGCUUUCUGUAUAAAAGAUGCAAUGAUAUCUGUUCCCCACUAGCCAUCCCCACAAUGAACAACUUCCCAGGCAAUAGCAAAUGGCUCCAUUCCAAAAGGGCUUGUUUUUUUGGUAAAUCAAAUAAGAGACCCCACUCAAGACCUUUGAAAGUCCCCGUCAAUGAAAAAAAUCCAGAAGGGUCAAAAGAGAAAGGCAGCUUUUAAUCCAGUUUCACAGCAAAACCAGGCUCUUGGCUGCCUCCAAGCAGAAUGCCACUCUCCUGCAGCUGUGGCCUCCAUCCCAAAUCAUCCUGCAUACUGCAUUCUCUAAGGAAAGCAUUUGACAAGAGAGGGUUUAUGUAUGGUGGAUUGGGAGAAAGUGAGACUUCAACCUCAGGGUGAACCGAAGACUGGUUUGUCUUUGGUUGUUUUAGUAUGAGGUUGGGCAGGAUGAUAUGUUUGGAUGGGUAGAAUGAGCAGCCGCCUUCCUCUGAAACCAAAAUAAAAUAAAAACCAGUUUUCAAGAUUCCUCCCAACUCCUCACUGGAGGCUCUGCCCUGCAGAAUCACUCAAGUUGCAACAACACAAGGAGACAAAAAUAGGAUAUUUCAUGAAAAUAUAAGAAACUCCCAAUUCCGUCCCAUUAGGAUGCCCUCAAGGGGCCAUGCAGGGAUCUUCCCAUACUUCCUGCUUCCCUGAUCUGAACCAAGAUUGGAAAGAGGCAGGCAGCAGAGAAGAUGCCCAAGAAACUCUGACAUAUCCACAGCUUGGCUCUGCCCCUUGGGCUUCACUGGGGUUUGGGCCUCCCUCUUGGUUGAGCUGAGUGUGCCUGAGUGGGUGGGGACAGGGAGGAUUCUCCAGGUCUAUCUUGAUUUCAUAGGUCCUUCUCAAUCCAAGGUCAAAAACUGAGAAUCUUAUUUUCUGCACCAGGAACUCAGGGUUAUCCCCAACCUAUGCCGCUGGCACAUGAUGGUCAUCCAACCUGUGUUUUUGUGAGUGAGUGAAUGUGUGACUGGUUGGCCUCUGAGUGGAUGACUGGAUGCGUGAAUGUGUGAGUGAAUGGGGGAGUUAAUGAAUCCCUACCUAACUGUGAAGAGAAGAAAAAUGAGGAGCCCCUCUCCCACUGAAACCCAUAACUGCCCCAUCAAGGUCAUCUUUCUUUGACUCAAGAUGACAUCUCAAUUUGAUGCUUGUAGGCCCCAAGCUGAUAAGGGCCACAGCCCUCUCAGAGCCACACUUCCUGGGGGCCCACAGAGCAGCUCUGCCCUCCUUCCUCUUCCCCUACCCUGCAUUUCUCAGCCUCAUGUUCUAUUUUAGCUCACACACGACCCAUGGGGGGGACCACCAAGUGGUUUUCCAAUGGACUAAGCCAAGGGUUCGAAGUUGGGACUUCCUUUGGUCUGGGACUUCCUGGGGCAGAAACAUAGGAGCCAACAUCUGGAAACUGGAUUGCAUUCCCUGAGCCAUGGGAGUCCAGCUGGAUAUUAAGGCCAGCCUGCCCUCCAGCUUUUAGAGCCGAAGAUCUUUUUUUCUGAGCCCCAAAGCCGUCAUGAUAGUAUGCCCCCAGAUCCCAUCAGCUAAGACCCUGUCUCUCCCAGGAACCCGUCGUGUGAGGUUGGGGCUUUUCUGCCAGUAAAGCCAUUCUGAUCACCUCACCCUUGACAGGGGCCAAGCCAAUCACAUUAGCCAUAAAUGACCAAUGUCCUCAGCCACUCUUUUCUCGGGGGUGCAUUCGUGGGUCCUAUUCAUCUCUCGUCAGUUAAUGUCUCUAGUCCUUCCUGUAAAGGUGAAAAUAAGCAUUGCGCAUGUGCGCAACACACACGCACACACACACACACACACACACACACAAAUCCCAGUGUCUUUUUAUGCAUGUGGUGAGAUGAAAUUGUGAUCUUUGUGUGACCUCCAGCUGCUGUCUUGUCUUGUAAAAUAUGUCCAAAUGUUUAAGAAUUUCUAAGCAAAUGGUCCCUUAAUGAAGUCUGCAGAGUUCAAUAAAAGGUAUGGAAAAAACAA
rnacentral:lncRNA from 10 species